GUANNCUUAGCUCAGUGGUAGAGCAAUGCUUUUGUAAAGCAAAGGUCCUCGGUUCAAAUCCGAGAGGCGGCUCCA
rnacentral:tRNA from 1 species